ensembl:lincRNA A530017D24Rik RIKEN cDNA A530017D24 gene
AUGACUUAAAAGGUGAGUACUCGUUUCUUUUUUAUGUUAAUAAGUGACACUGAAGCUGGAAGAACAGAGGACUGUAGGAUCACACAGCCAGGGACAAGCCAGUAGCUUAAGUUUUCUUAACCCUUUGACAUCUGCUAUACUACUCACUAGUGAGUCCUGGCAUCCAUUAUAGCAGUAUGGAAACACUGGCAGACACUUGGCUUAUUUAUCACCUUUUGGUACAACAAUAAGCUACGCCAUAUGCAAAGACUGUGUAUGAGGAAUAUGUAUCUGAUUAUGUAUAGAUAAAGAGCAAUGCUGGGAUUAAAGGUGUGCGCCACCACGCCCGCCACUCCAUAUUUUCAUUCACAGGUUUCUCCUCAGCCCAUUCUUUCUCCAAAACCUGCCUGUUCUGCAUGGUGUUCUUUGAUCCUCUCACAGUCCUGAUGCUCGCGACCAGGAACACCUGCUCCAAGCUGCUGUGACAUUCACAUUCAGACCCUUACUUGGAAGGCUACCCUCUCUAGUAUCUGGCCAGGUGCAAACUGUUGGGGAAUCAAGGGGAUCUCUCUCUCCCUUCCUCUCCCCAAAAGUUUUUGGUACACCAUUCCCAACUUUUUUUCACAACUUCAUUUGCUCUUGAGACAUCACAAUCCCUGACUGCCUAACAAUCUGGUCUCAACCUCUCCCACACCCCUGUAACUCACCUUGACAUUUCCUGCUGUUGUUAGCUUCUGAUGGCUUCUCACAUUUAUAGUCCGUGUGAGCCUCAGAAAGGCAAGUUUUGUGCAGUUCCAAGCUUCUCCUACUUGAACGAAUCGGGAGUGGGUGCUUUUUUGUUUUGUUUUGUUUUGUUUUUCUAUAAAAGCAGGACAGAGAGAUUUCUCAUUAUUCCAGGGAAACAUCCCCUCACUAGUACAAGAGUACAUUUGCAAACCAGCCUUUCAAAGAGCUAUUUCAAAAGCAAUAAGCAAGUGGUUCCAUGGUGAGGAUUACAAACACACCCUCAGGGUCAGUCAAGGGUGAGGAGGACAGUUCUACUAUGACAAGACACAUUGGGCCAGACUCCGUGGGAGAGUGUCAGACAUACAUCUUUAAAGUGCUGUAUCACAAACAGCUUAGAUGCAAGCAAAGGAGAGCUACUUAAAGAAACUAGGUGUAGAUAUCAUGAAGGUGUUGAUUCAAAAGAUGCUUGUGGAGAAUUUGAAGCUAAUUGUUAACUUAAUGUGAGAAUGGGGAAAAGCAAUAUUUUGUAUUAUUGUAAUAUAUAUAUAUAUUGUUAUUUUAAAAUAAGCAUGUAUAAUUAAAUAAAUUAGAUAUUAUAAAUAGA